rnacentral:rRNA from 1 species
AGAGUUUGAUCCUGGCUAAGGAUGAACGCUAGCUACAGGCUUAACACAUGCAAGUCGAGGGGCAGCACAGUGUAGCAAUACACGGGUGGCGACCGGCGCACGGGUGCGUAACGCGUAUCCAACCUUCCCGAUACUCAGGGAUAGCCUUCCGAAAGGGAGAUUAAUACCUGAUGGUGUUUCAAUUCCGCAUGUUAAUGAAACUAAAGAUUUAUCGGUAUCGGAUGGGGAUGCGUGACAUUAGAUAGUAGGCGGGGUAACGGCCCACCUAGUCUACGAUGUCUAGGGGUUCUGAGAGGAAGGUCCCCCACACUGGAACUGAGACACGGUCCAGACUCCUACGGGAGGCAGCAGUGAGGAAUAUUGGUCAAUGGUCGGAAGACUGAACCAGCCAAGUAGCGUGAAGGAUGAAGGUUCUAUGGAUUGUAAACUUCUUUUAUACGGGAAUAAAACCUCCCACGUGUGGGAGCUUGUAUGUACCGUAUGAAUAAGCAUCGGCUAACUCCGUGCCAGCAGCCGCGGUAAUACGGAGGAUGCGAGCGUUAUCCGGAUUUAUUGGGUUUAAAGGGAGCGUAGACGGGAUGUUAAGUCAGUUGUGAAAGGCUGCGGCUCAACCGCAGCACUGCAGUUGAUACUGGCGUCCUUGAGUGCGGUUGAGGUGUAUGGAAUUCGUGGUGUAGCGGUGAAAUGCUUAGAUAUCACGAAGAACUCCGAUUGCGAAGGCAGUACACUAAGCCGCUACUGACGUUGAGGCUCGAAAGUGUGGGUAUCAAACAGGAUUAGAUACCCUGGUAGUCCACACGGUAAACGAUGAAUACUCGCUGUUGGCGAUAUACAGUCAGCGGCCAAGCGAAAGCAUUAAGUAUUCCACCUGGGGAGUACGCCGGCAACGGUGAAACUCAAAGGAAUUGACGGGGGCCCGCACAAGCGGAGGAACAUGUGGUUUAAUUCGAUGAUACGCGAGGAACCUUACCCGGGCUUAAAUUGCACUGGACAGGCUCAGAGAUGGGCCCUUC